GAUGAAGAACGCAGCGAAAUGCGAUACGUAAUGUGAAUUGCAGAAUUCAGUGAAUCAUCGAAUCUUUGAACGCAUAUUGCGCUCUCUGGUAUUCCGGAGAGCAUGCUUGUUUGAGUAUCAGUAAACACCUCAACUCCCUUUUCUUUUUUGAAAUUGGAGCUGGACUUGAGUGAUCCCAACGCUUUCUUCCAAGAAAGUGGCGGGUUGCUUGAAAUGCAGGUGCAGCUGAACUUUUCUCUGAGCUAUAAGAAUAUCUAUUUAGUCUGCCUAAAAAACAGAUUAUUACCUUUGCUGCAGCUAACAUAAAGGAGACUAGUUCUUGUGCUGACUGAUGCAGGAUUCACAGAGACAGCUUCGGCUGACUUUGUAAACUCGAUCUCAAAUCAAGUAAGACUACCCGCUGAACUUAAGCAUAUCAAUAAGCGGAGGA
rnacentral:misc_RNA from 1 species